rnacentral:misc_RNA from 1 species
GGUUGCAUUAGCUGACAAUAAUGGUUCAAGAAAGAAUUGUGCAAACCUAUCCAAAGCCUCCUCAAAACGAUCACUAUUAAUAUCAAAAUGAUAGUUGGUGUGCUCAAAAGAUGUAUAUGCAUUGCAUCGGCCUCCAUUCUCCGCAAUAUACUUCAUAUAACUACCCUCCAGUGGAUAUUUUUCACUAGCAUAAAACAACAUAUGUUCGAGGAAAUGGGCGAGUCCUUCGAGACCAACGGGGUCGCUGAAAUAGCCUACACCAACAUCCAUGGAAGCAGCACUCUUAUCGGUAUCGGGAUCGCUGAUGAGGAGCACCUCAAGAGAGUUCUUAAGGACGAUCCUCCUAUACUCUCUCUUGUCCCUAUCUCCACCUCCACCUCCGUCAUUCUGGUCCCUACAAUUUGUUUUUCAGAGAGCGGAGAAGAGAGAGGUUUGGAG